UAGUUGGUGAAAGUCCAACCGAAGGAGGGGCCAAGCCACCUUCGUAGCUAGGAUACCUGCGUAUGGCGAAAUCUGUGCGUAGAAGCGCAUCGACAAAAGUACCUGUCGGAGACGGGGCAAGCAACCUGCCAGGCCGGAACAUGA
rnacentral:ncRNA from 1 species